AUGAUGAGGCCUUUCUGCUGAAAAGGUAAAUGUUUAAAUGAUAGGUUUAUGACAUCUUAAUAAUCUUGACCUUCUAUACUCCAUAGUUCUCUUUUCCAUGAAAUGGGAAGCAAGUAAGAAUGCCACUGGCAAGGCCGCUCACUCAGAUUGGUCCAACUAUGAUGAUCUGUAUGAAUAUUUUUGGUCUCCAGAUUGCUUCUAUCUCGGCUGGCCAAUGCGUGAUGAUGGAGAUCUCUCUCCAGUAUCUUCAUUACAGCAGCUUUUCUACGCUUCCUCCAGAGUAUCUUGGAUAUUAUCUUAAACUUCCCGGGUUUCCACAGAUGGAAAUUUACUGAAAUUUUGAGAAAUAUUCUCAAGAUCGCUGUAAGUCUCGCUUGGUGUGUAGUCUUACCGCUUUGCGAUGCCCAGUCCAAUUCUUCUGCUCCUGGGAUGCUGAAGCAAUGGAUAUCAUUCCUUCCACGAGACGUUAAAGGGGUUCCCCCGCUCCAUAUCUUGGCUGUCGCUCUUUGCUUGCUCCCAAAUGUGCUGACGGCUAUCAUGUUCAUUUUCCCUAUGCUUCGACGCUGGAUUGAGAAUUCAGACUGGCAUAUAAUUAGAUUGCAUGUGUGGUGGUCACAGGUAUGAUGCUGGAUUUAUAAUUCCUUUCUUUUCAUCCUGGAUGAAAAUUAUGAUUCUGUUUAGUCAGCAAAUCCCUUUAGGCAUGCUAGAAGAGCUCUGAACUCUGUUAUGUCUUAUGUUUUAUAUAUUGCAGUGCUAAUGGCAUAAAUUAUUUGAGUAUUUUCUAUAUAUUUAAAUUGCAUUGUAUGAUUGUAUCUAGAGGCUAUCUCUUGGCUCAGUUUAGCAGCUCAAAUAUGACUGAACCACCACAAACCUCACCGGCUAUUCUUUUUGAUGUUUGCAACAAGAGACAAGAUUAUAUAUAUAAAAGCUCAUGCGUCCAUGGUUCUUAGUGUCUUUGUCUUUUUUAGUUUCUUUUUUUACUAGGAAACUUCUGAUAUUUGUAUGUAUUUGAUUCAUUCUUCUUAGUGUCUUUGUCUUUUUUAGUUUUUUUUUUACUAGAGUGUUGUUUUUUGUCUGUCUAAAGACAUACUCUCUGGGUUAUCUCAUAAAACGAAGAGGUGUAAUAAAUUGCUCCUUAUCAACUGGACACGCACUGAAAAUACUAAAGAUUACCCAUAUUGGGAUCUAAACUAUUUUUUUCAUCCCCGGAUGCUGAAGAUUACAACGUAGGCCAAAUUGGCCAACAAGUCCACGGUGGUGCACCAGGUAUGUCCAUUCCUUACCUUACUUUACUUUCUCUACCAGUUAUGUUUUGGUAUUUACGGUUUAUUGGAUUCGUGUCGGCAACACGAGGAAAAUCUCAUCACAUUCAUGAUCCGAUGAAAGAGGUUAGGAGGAGAUAGUUCCUCCAGGCACAAAGGAUUUUCAUGUCAUGGCUACUUCCCACACUAAAGUCUGAGCCAACCAAAGCAGUGGAACCAGUACGAGGCCCCAAUACCUCUCACGGACACGAAGCUCUGCCUCAUCAUGCAGGACCCUUAGGUGUGUCGGAAAAAUAAGAAAAAGAGGCGUAGGAAAACGUAUAACACACCCGUGUCUUUACUCUCUCUGACAUGAGAUGUCACUAGAACAUUUGUUCCUGGUGACAACUUAGAGUCAACAUCGAGAGAGACAGAGGAUUGGAGGAAAUGACGGCUGCUCGGGUCUUGGUGGGAUCUCGAAUUAUAGUCCAAAGUCACUUUUCCCACCGGAAAAACUGGUGGAGAAAUUGGAGCAGCACAGCUCUUGCGAGGAGGAAAGGAACAUGUGAUGAUGUUCAACUAGGCUCCUGGAAGAGAGAGGGGAUACAGUCAAGAAGAAUGAAAUCAUACCUUCUUCUGAAACGGAAGCCUCUGCUGGUUGCGGUUAGGGCAAGCUGAACAUGCCUUAUAUGAUGCUAACGUCUGCAGAGAACUAAAACCUGAUUGGUCUAAAAGAUGUUGUUUCCGUGAAGGUGUUGCUCUUUGUUUCCUACAGAGAUUUGUUGAGGCAGCCAAUGCCUUUUUACGAAGGAGUAAAGCAAAGAGAUCAGUGAUGAGUUCAGAGAAGUUGUAGAUGCUCAAAAGGAAGUUUCCCGGCAAGGGAAAGAUUAAGGCCAAACCAUAAGAUCUUCUAGAGAAGGCUCUUUUUAGUAUAUGUAUGAAGUUUUGAUAUUGCUUCUUACCUUGGUCUCUCCCAUGACAUUGUUGCCUAUCUUUACUUACACGUACUAAAAACUUCAGGCAUAAAAUUUUGUUUGUGCUCUGAUUUUGUCAUUGUGUUUGGAUUUACAAUUUUGAUUUUUAAAAAUUGUAAACAAUGAUUUUAUUUGUUAUACUUAACAUUUUCUUUUUGCCACCAAAAA